GACGAACGCUGGCGGCGUGCUUAACACAUGCAAGUCGAACGGAAAGGCCCUGCUUUUGUGGGGUGCUCGAGUGGCGAACGGGUGAGUAACACGUGAGUAACCUGCCCUUGACUUUGGGAUAACUUCAGGAAACUGGGGCUAAUAUCGGAUAGGAGCUCCUGCUGCAUGGUGGGGGUUGGAAAGUUUCGGCGGUUGGGGAUGGACUCGCGGCUUAUCAGCUUGUUGGUGGGGUAGUGGCUUACCAAGGGUUUGACGGGUAGCCGGCCUGAGAGGGUGACCGGCGACAUUGGGACUGAGAUACGGCCCAGACUCCUACGGGAGGCAGCAGUGGGGAAUAUUGCACAAUGGGCGGAAGCCUGAUGCAGCAACGCCGCGUGCGGGAUGACGGCCUUCGGGUUGUAAACCGCUUUCGCCUGUGACGAAGCGUGAGUGACGGUAAUGGGUAAAGAAGCACCGGCUAACUACGUG
rnacentral:rRNA from 1 species